rnacentral:rRNA from 1 species
GCGGUGCAUUUGCGGGUGGAGUGCGCCGAGACGCCCGGUGCAGCGGUGCAAGCCCGGUUCAGAGGCCAAACGCUUCGGCGGUUGGAACCCGUGCCGUGGGGAGUGCCGUUUGUGCUGGGUGCGAGACCAAGGGCGGUGGUUUCGGGCCCGGGUGGGCGCCGAGCUGGCAAUUGGAGGCGGUCGCGUGCGACACGUGCCGGCGGUCAGUUCGGUCCUGCUCGAGCUCUCACAACGCAAGUUCUCGGUGUAAAAGCCGGUCAUCUGUCCGACCCGUCUUGAAACACGGACAAGGAGUUUAGCGUGUGCGCAAGUCAUUGGGCGUUCAAAACCCAAAGGCGCAAUGAAAGUGAAGGUCUCCCUCGUUGGAGCUGACGUGUGAUCCUGGCCACUGCGGUGUGUCGGGAGCAACAUGGUCCCGUUCUGGCCGCUUGCGGCGGAGCGGAGACAGAGCGUACGCGCUG